ensembl:rRNA 5S_rRNA 5S ribosomal RNA
GUCUACAGCCAUACCUCCCUGAACGCGCCCUAUCUCAUCUGUUCUUGGAAGCUAAGCAGGUAAGCAGGGUUCUUGCUGGGUAGUGCUUGCAUGGGAGACUGCCUGGGAAUUCCAGGUGUUAUAGACU